rnacentral:rRNA from 1 species
GUCUAACCAUGCAAGUCGAGCGGAACGAUCCUAGCUUGCUAGGAGGCGUCGAGCGGCGGAGGGUGAGUAAUGCAUAGGAAUCUGCCCGGUAGUGGGGGAUAACCUGGGGAAACUCAGGCUAAUACCGCAUACGUCCUACGGGAGAAAGCAGGGGAUCUUCGGACCUUGCGCUAUCGGAUGAGCCUAUGUCGGAUUAGCUGGUUGGUGAGGUAACGGCUCACCAAGGCGACGAUCCGUAGCUGGUCUGAGAGGAUGAUCAGCCACUUCGGGACUGAGACACGGCCCGAACUCCUACGGGAGGCAGCAGUGGGGAAUAUUGGACAAUGGGCGCAAGCCUGAUCCAGCCAUGCCGCGUGUGUGAAGAAGGCCCUCGGGUUGUAAAGCACUUUCAGUGGGGAAGAAAUCCUCGGGGCCAAUACCCCCGAGGGAGGACAUCACCCACAGAAGAAGCACCGGCUAACUCCGUGCCAGCAGCCGCGGUAAUACGGAGGGUGCGAGCGUUAUUCGGAAUUACUGGGCGUAAAGCGCGCGUAGGCGGCCUGAUAUGCCGGUUGUGUAAGCCCCGGGCUCAACCUGUUAACGGCAUCCGGAACUGUCAGGCUAGAGCGCAGGAGAGGAAGGU